UACAGAGGUCUCGAGCGUUGUUCGGAUUCAUUGGGCGUAAAGGGCCCGUAGGCGGCCAACUAAGUCGGAUGUGAAAUCCCCAGGCUUAACCUGGGAACUGCAUCCGAUACUGGAUGGCUUGAAUUCGGGAGAGGGAUGCAGAAUUCCAGGUGUAGCGGUGAAAUGCGUAGAUAUCUGGAGGAAUACCGGUGGCGAAGGCGGCAUCCUGGACCGACAUUGACGCUGAACGGCGAAAGCUAGGGGAGCAAACGGG
rnacentral:rRNA from 1 species